CAAAUUUUGUAGUACUGGUUCCCAGAUAUGAUCUCUCAUCUCGUAAAAACAUAACAGUAAAUACACAUAUGCAUAUCGGUCAAAUUGAAAUCUGUGUAAAACCCUAAGUCUAGGAUGGUGGAGUACAGAAUUUGAGAUCUCGUUAUUACGGCUAUGAGACAACGCUCCAUUAGAGACCAAACGAUAUAAAAGUUAACAACCAGUUUAAAAUAAUUGUGUCGAUGCCAAC
rnacentral:lncRNA from 1 species